rnacentral:rRNA from 1 species
AAGGUAAUAGUCCUGUAAGUGAAACGAGAAGACCACGAGUUAUGAUCCAGAGUACCACGAGACACGUGAAACCUUGUGGGAAGCAGGGAGGACCACCUCCCAAGGCUAAAUACUACCUGAUGACCGAUAGUGAAGCAGUACCGUGAGGGAAAGGUGAAAAGAACCCCGGGAGGGGAGUGAAAUAGAACCUGAAACCGUGUGCCUACAACCGCUCAGAGCCCCUUAUGAGGGUGAUGAGGUGCUUUUUGUAGAACGAGCCAACGAGUUACGGUAUGUAGCAAGGUUAAGUACUUAAGGUACGGAGCCGAAGGGAAACCGAGUCUGAAUAGGGCGACUAGUUGCAUGCCGUAGACCCGAAACCGGGUGACCUAUCCAUGGCCAGGUUGAAGCGAGGGUAAAACCUCGUGGAGGACCGAACCACGUUGCUGUUGAAAAAGCAUGGGAUGAGCUGUGGAUAGCGGAGAAAUUCCAAUCGAACCCGGAGAUAGCUGGUUCUCUCCGAAAUAGCUUUAGGGCUAGCGUCGAGUAUGAGUAGUGGAGGUAGAGCACUGAAUGGGCUAGGGGGCAUAGCGCUUACCGAACCUUAUCAAACUCCGAAUGCCACAUACUUUGAGCUCGGCAGUCAGACUACGAAUGAUAAGAUCCGUGGUCAAAAGGGAAACAGCCCAGAUCGUCAGCUAAGGUCCCAAAGUGUAAGUUAAGUGGGAAAGGAUGUGAGAUUUCUAAGACAACUAGGAUGUUGGCUUAGAAGCAGCCAUUCAUUAAAAGAGUGCGUAAUAGCUCACUAGUCGAGAGAUCUUGCGCCGAAAAUGUAACGGGGCUAAACUUACCACCGAAGCUACGGGCUUGAACUUAGUUCAAGCGGUAGGAGAGCGUCGUAACCGGGCUGAAGUCGUACCGUAAGGAGCGGUGGACUGGUUACGAGUGAGAAUGUUGGCAUCAGUAGCGAGAUGUGGGUGAGAAUCCCACAGGCCGAAAACCUAAGGUUUCCUCAGGAAGGUUCGUCCGCUGAGGGUUAGUCGGGACCUAAGCCGAGGCCGAAAGGCGUAGGUGAUGGACAACUGGUUGAUAUUCCAGUACCACUACCAUCGUUAUUAUCGAUGGCGUGACGCAGGAGGAUAGUGUGUGCUAGCUAUUGGAUGCUAGUCUAAGCGUUUAGGCAGUGAGAGUAGGCAAAUCCGCUCUCAUAAUGCUGAGGCGUGAUGGGGAAGGUUCUACGGAACCGAAGUACAUGAUUCCACGCUGCCAAGAAAAGCGUCUAGAGAGAGAAGUAGUGCCCGUACCGCAAACCGACACAGGUAGGUGAGGAGAGAAUCCUAAGGCCGGCGGAAGAAUUACAGUUAAGGAACUCGGCAAAUUGACCCCGUAAGUUCGCGAGAAGGGGUGCCUACGAGAGUAGGCCGCAGAGAAUAGGCCCAAGCAACUGUUUAGCAAAAACACAGGUCUCUGCUAAAGCGUAAGCUGAUGUAUAGGGGCUGACGCCUGCCCGGUGCUGGAAGGUUAAGGGGAACACUUAGCGCAAGCGAAGGUGUGAACUUAAGCCCCAGUAAACGGCGGCCGUAACUAUAACGGUCCUAAGGUAGCGAAAUUCCUUGUCAGGUAAGUUCUGACCCGCACGAAUGGCGUAAUGACUUGGGCACUGUCUCAACUGUAAAUCCGGCGAAGUUGUAGUGCGAGUGAAGAUGCUCGCUACCCGCGAUUGGACGGAAAGACCCCGUAGAGCUUUACUGUAGCUUAGCAUUGAGUUUUGGUAUUGUCUGUACAGGAUAGGUGGGAGACUAGGAAACCAGGGCGUCAGCCUUGGUGGAGUCAACCUUGGGAUACCACCCUGACAGUACUGAAAUUCUAACUGGCGGCCAUGAAUCUGGUCACAGGACAUUGUUAGGUGGGCAGUUUGACUGGGGCGGUCGCCUCCUAAAAAGUAACGGAGGCGCCCAAAGGUUCCCUCAGAACGGUCGGAAAUCGUUCGAAGAGUGCAAAGGCAGAAGGGAGCCUGACUGCGACACCCACAAGUGGAGCAGGGACGAAAGUCGGGCUUAGUGAUCCGGUGGUACCUCGUGGGAGGGCCAUCGCUCAACGGAUAAAAGCUACCUCGGGGAUAACAGGCUGAUCUCCCCCAAGAGUCCACAUCGACGGGGAGGUUUGGCACCUCGAUGUCGGCUCGUCGCAUCCUGGGGCUGAAGUAGGUCCCAAGGGUUGGGCUGUUCGCCCAUUAAAGCGGCACGCGAGCUGGGUUCAGAACGUCGUGAGACAGUUCGGUCCCUAUCCGUCGCGGGCGUAGGAAAUUUGAGAGGAGCUGUCCUUAGUACGAGAGGACCGGGAUGGACUGACCUCUGGUGUACCAGUUGUUCCGCCAGGAGCACAGCUGGGUAGCUAAGUCGGGAAUGGAUAAACGCUGAAAGCAUCUAAGCGUGAAGCCAACCUCAAGAUGAGAUUUCCCAUAGCGUAAGCUAGUAAGAUCCCUUGAAGAACACAAGGUUGAUAGGUCGGGGGUGUAAGCAUGGUAACAUGUUCAGCUGACCGAUACUAAUAGAUCGAGGGCUU